GACGUAGGGCGCGAGCGUUGUCCGGAUUUAUUGGGCGUAAAGAGCUCGUAGGCGGCUCAUCGCGUCUACCGUGAAAACCUGUGGCUCAACUACAGGCUUGCGGUUGAUACGGGUGGGCUGGAGUUCGGUAGGGGAGACUGGAAUUCCUGGUGUAGCGGUGAAAUGCGCAGAUAUCAGGAGGAACACCGGUGGCGAAGGCGGGUCUCUGGGCCGAUACUGACGCUGAGGAGCGAAAGCGUGGGGAGCGAACAGGAUUAGAUACCCCCGUAGUCC
rnacentral:rRNA from 1 species